rnacentral:rRNA from 1 species
UACAGAGGUGGCAAGCGUUGUUCGGAAUUACUGGGCGUAAAGGGCGCGUAGGCGGCCUUCUAAGUCAGACGUGAAAUCCCCAGGCUUAGCUUGGGAACUGCGUCUGAUACUGGGAGGCUUGAGUGCGGGAGAGGGAUGUGGAAUUCCAGGUGUAGCGGUGAAAUGCGUAGAUAUUGGGAGGAACACCGGUGGCGAAGGCGGCCACCUGGACCGGUUCUGACGCUGAGGCGCGAAAGCGUGGGGAGCAAACAGG